rnacentral:sRNA from 3 species
UGUAUCUGAAGCCUGACGAGGAUGAGAACCUCCGGGGGCAAGAGGUUCGACCCGAGCGAAGCGAGAGAACGUUGCGUCAGCAACGGCCCGC